GGACAAAAGAGUAAGUUGGCUUUGACAACCGUCACCACAUUGGUCUCUGAGGAUGACCUUUCUGGACAGAGGAAUGUGCCUCUCUUUCUUUGCUAUUCAUGUGUCUACCUCCUGAAGCUGCAUGUUCUAUUGAAGAGGAUAGCCUUUAAUUCAGUGUUUAGUUCAGUGCAUACAAAUAGCUCAACACACCAGUCAAUAUUUCUCAUACCUUCCUCUAUCUACUGGUACCUCUGCCCUCCCUUCUCCCAGGUUUUCAGGAUUCCUUUGUAAACCUUUGGCUGCCCAAAGUCCAGUGUUUGGAUGCUUCAUGAA
rfam:Nomascus leucogenys chromosome 8, whole genome shotgun sequence.